UACGUAGGGUGCAAGCAUUGUCCGGAAUUAUUGGGCGUAAAGAGCUCGUAGGCGGUUCGUCGCGUCGGCUGUGAAAACCCGGAGCUCAACUCCGGGCCUGCAGUCGAUACGGGCGGACUUGAGUGUUGCAGGGGAGACUGGAAUUCCUGGUGUAGCGGUGAAAUGCGCAGAUAUCAGGAGGAACACCGGUGGCGAAGGCAAUCACCUGGGCCUGAACUGACACUGAGACACGAAAGCGUGGGUAGCAAACAGG
rnacentral:rRNA from 1 species